CUUUAAACUGAAGAACUUGAUUGGCUUGUACACAUUGGAACUUGAUUGGCUUGUAUACAUACUUUGUCAUAUAGUUCAAUUGCUGUUGCUUGUAAAUGUUUUAUAAACCAGUACUGCGAAGUAGCGAAAUUUCGGGCCGUCUUUCACAACAAAUAACAUCACAAUAACUGCACAUCAUUUUCUCUUUAAUACAGAAUCAUUUUCCCCGUCCAUUGAGUUAUAAUUUCCAAAACGAACCAGUCGCUAUAACGUAAAAUAAGCGGGUAUUUGUGAACAAAAAUGUCGUUUGAUAUAACACGAAUUAACCAGCGCCAUCUUGUCUUCU
rnacentral:lncRNA from 1 species